UACGGGGGGUGCGAGCGUUGUCCGGAAUCACUGGGCGUAAAGGGCGCGUAGGUGGUCUGAUAAGGGUGUGGUGAAAGCCCGGGGCUCAACCCCGGGUCGGCCGUGCCGACUGUUAGACUAGAGUACUGUAGGGGCAGGCGGAAUUCCGGGUGUAGCGGUGGAAUGCGUAGGGAUCCGGAGGAAGACCUGUGGCGAAGGCGGCCUGCUGGGCAGUUACUGACACUGAGGCGCGACAGCGUGGGGAGCAAACAGG
rnacentral:rRNA from 1 species